GGAAAAUCACAUUUAAUUUAUUGAAUAUCGGUUCGAGUAUUACACUCCUCUAUCAAAAUAAUACUAAUAUAAUUAAUUAGUAAAAAUAGUAUUUAUACAAAUCUUUGAAUCAAAUAAUGUAUUUAUUGAUUAUACAAAACAACCUAGAUAAGGAGAUUCUAUAUACAUAUAAAACCCCUUUUUCCCGUGUCACAAUCAGAGCGGAGCUUCACCGACGACUCGACAUCAAAUACCACAAAAUCCUGUAAAAUCUGGACCCCCAACGGUCCAGCACAUAACACAUAAAAGAGAGUUAGAUAACAUACUCAAAAUAUAAGUGUAAGUAAAUGGUACUUAAACACUUCUUCAA
rnacentral:lncRNA from 1 species